AUUGCCCCUAGAGGCGUUGCAGCGUGGCCACCCUGACACACCUGUGUCAUCCGAGGGCAGAGAGAAGAGGGAUUAUGUCUGGGCUCAUGGGUCUGACGUGAACCACCUGACUGACUGCGAGCCCCACAGU